UUAUUUUUAAAAUGUUCACAUCUAUCCUGCCUAUAUUUUUGGUCGCCGUUGUUUCAGCAAAAGUAGCCAGAAAUCAUGAGGUCCCAUAUCAGGCCUCCAUUAGAUCUGAUUUCGGUCACAUGUGUUCGGGCGCCAUUUUGUAUAAGAAUUGGAUACUGACUGCCGCUAGAUGCGGAAUGAGUCUACGCCGCCGAAAAGUACAAUAUGUUGUGGUGGGUACAAAUGACAUCGCAGGACCAGGUACUAGCUUUCCAGUUGAGAUAAUUCAUGUACACCCCAAGCACAGCCACUAUAAGUACGACAUAGCGGUAGUCAAACUUAACGGUACAAUUAAAUUUAACGACAAAAUCCAACCCAUACAAUUUCCCGAGAGAAGUACAAAACCGGGAGCCAACAUGCUUUUCUCUGGAUGGAAAGGACCAUCUGAUUCAAAUCAGACAAACAAUUUGCUUAUGAGAAAUGUGACUUCAAUAACCAGCGAUGCGUGUCAAAAGGAAAUAGGACCUCAUCUCGAGUUGUACCAAAUUUGCACCAUUGAUAACGACCCUUAUCGAAAAGGCGAAGAAUUCUUUGAUGGCAGAGGUGGUCCAAUCGUGGAAGGAUCAAGAUUGGCAGCCAUCGCAUCCAUUUCGCGUACGAAUAACUCAGCAAGCAUACACACAAGGGUCUACGAACUGCUACCGUGGAUCGUAGUUACCAUAGAUCCGGACCGUCGUGUUUACUGAUUA